rnacentral:rRNA from 1 species
CGGGUGCACUGAUCCAGCCGGGCCUUUCCCUCUGUGGAACCCCAUGGCCUUCACUGGCUGUGGCGGGGAAACAGGACUUUUACUUUGAAAAAAUUAGAGUGCUCCAGGCAGGCCUAUGCUCGAAUACAUUAGCAUGGAAUAAUAGAAUAGGACGUGUGGUUCUAUUUUGUUGGUUUCUAGGACCGCCGUAAUGAUUAAUAGGGACAGUCGGGGGCAUCAGUAUUCAAUUGUCAGAGGUGAAAUUCUUGGAUCUAUUGAAGACUAACUACUGCGAAAGCAUUUGCCAAGGAUGUUUUCAUUGAUAAGGAACGAAAGUUAGGGGAUCGAAGACGAUCAGAUACCGUCGUAGUCUUAACUAUAAACUAUGCCGACUAGGGAUCGGACGAUGUUAUUCUUUGACGCGUUCGGCACCUUUCGAGAAAUCAGAGUGCUUGGGCUCCAGGGGGAGUAUGGUCGCAAGGCUGAAACUUAAAGAAAUUGACGGAAGGGCACCACCAGGGGUGGAACCUGCGGCUUAAUUUGACUCAACACGGGGAAACUCACCAGGUCCAGACACAGUGAGGAUUGACAGAUUGAGAGCUCUUUCUUGAUUCUGUGGGUGGUGGUGCAUGGCCGUUCUUAGUUGGUGGAGUGAUUUGUCUGCUUAAUUGCGAUAACGAACGAGACCUUAACCUGCUAAAUAGCCCGUACUGCUUUGGCAGUUCGCCGGCUUCUUAGAGGGACUAUCGG